GAUAGGAAUUCCUGGUGUAGCGGUGGAAUGCGCAGAUAUCAGGAGGAACACCGAUGGCGAAGGCAGAUCUCUGGGCCGUAACUGACGCUGAGGAGCGAAAGGGUGGGGAGCAAACAGGCUUAGAUACCCUGGUAGUCCACCCCGUAAACGUUGGGAACUAGAUGUGGGGACCAUUCCACGGUCUCCGUGUCGCAGCUAACGCAUUAAGUUCCCCGCCUGGGGAGUACGGCCGCAAGGCUAAAACUCAAAGGAAUUGACGGGGGCCCGCACAAGCGGCGGAGCAUGCGGAUUAAUUCGAUGCAACGCGAAGAACCUUACCAAGGCUUGACAUAUACGAGAACGGGCCAGAAAUGGUCAACUCUUUGGACACUCGUAUACAGGUGGUGCAUGGUUGUCGUCAGCUCGUGUCGUGAGAUGUUGGGUUAAGUCCCGCAACGAGCGCAACCCUCGUUCUAUGUUGCCAGCACGUAAUGGUGGGAACUCAUGGGAUACUGCCGGGGUCAACUCGGAGGAAGGUGGGGACGACGUCAAAUCAUCAUGCCCCUUAUGUCUUGGGCUUCACGCAUGCUACAAUGGCCGAUACAAAGGGCUGCAAUACCGCAAGGUGGAGCGAAUCCCAAAAAGUCGGUCCCAGUUCGGAUUGAGGUCUGCAACUCGACCUCAUGAAGUCGGAGUCGCUAGUAAUCGCAGAUCACCACGCUGCGGUGAAUACGUUCCCGGGCUU
rnacentral:rRNA from 2 species